rnacentral:rRNA from 1 species
UACGGGGGGGAGCAAGCGUUGUUCGGAUUUACUGGGCGUAAAGGGCGCGUAGGCGGCCACCGCAAGUCGGUUGUGAAAUCUCUGGGCUUAACCCAGAAAGGUCAACCGAUACUGCGGGGCUAGAGUGCAGAAGGGGCAACUGGAAUUCCUGGUGUAGCGGUGAAAUGCGCAGAUAUCAGGAGGAACACCGAUGGCGAAGGCAGUGGUCUGGGCCGAUACUGACGCUGAGGAGCGAAAGCGUGGGGAGCGAACAGG